AUUGAACGCUGGCGGCAGGCCUAACACAUGCAAGUCGAACGAGUGGCGGACGGGUUAGUAAUGUCUGUGAAAGUGCUUGAUGGAGGGGGACAACUACUGGAAACGGUAGCUAAUACCGCAUACCAUCGGCUAUGCCCAAAUGGGAUUAGCUUGUAGGUGGGGUAAAGGCUCACCUAGGCGACGAUCCAUAGCUGGUCUGAGAGGAUGCCCAGCCACACUGGAACUGAGACACGGUCCAGACUCCUACGGGAGGCAGCAGUGGGGAAUAUUGCACAAUGGGCGCAAGCCUGAUGCAGCCAUGCCGCGUGUAUGAAGAAGGCCUUCGGGUUGUAAAGUACUUUAAGCGGGGAGGCGUUACCCACAGAAGAAGCACCGGCUAACUCCGUGCCAGCAGCCGCGGUAAUAC
rnacentral:rRNA from 1 species